rnacentral:lncRNA from 1 species
GAUGGUUUUAAUUAAUGGGGUUAUCAAUAUAAUUAUUAGAUUGUUAAUAAUUUCUAAAACCUGUUGUUUGUUUAUUUACGACUUUUGGUUUGAGUAAUCAUUUUGACUAUUACACAAGAAUCUUUCACAAUCUCAGGAAAAAAAGGUACAAAAGCUGUCAGUGGAGGGGUCCUCUUAUAAUCUCCCCUUAUUACUUUCUGAAAGGUUGCCACCGUGACAGCUUUUGUACCUUUUUUUCUGAGAAUUACAGUCUGAUGUUUCUUAUCGGGCAUUUUUGGUAUGUAAGAUUCACAUGUUAAAUAUUCAGACAAAAUGAAAGUGAAAGCUUUUUUGUUUGUUUUUUAAUCUCCGGAAAGCAUCUUAUAUCUCUGUAUGACUGUCUUUGUGACGUAUCUGUGACAUCUCUUCUGUUUUCUCGUCAGGUUCAAACGCUUGAAUCUGCUGCUGCUGCUGUGCCAGUUCAGUUACAGCGGUCAGUAUUCACUCAUUUUAGUUAAUAAAUUGUAACAAUUUUUGAUUUUCAUUGUCAGGUAGAGUUACUCUAGUUGAUUGUUUCUCUGAUGAGUUAAUUUAUUUGUUCAGGUAAUUCAUCUGAUACUAUUGUCAUCAACUAUUUUAAAUAUAAAAAUGAGGGUCAUCAACAUUUUAAAUAUAAAAAUAGAGGCAUAGAUAAUAUUAUUGGCUCCUUAAUGCUUUCACUGAUAUAUUUUUAUAUUAUUAUGAUUAUCCAGUCGACUAAAAUAACUAUUUUUUAUGAUACACAGAGAUAAAAGCCACAUGUAUUUUUCAGUAUUGAUACUUUGUAAUUAAUGAAUAUUAUACUGUAUGUAUUUGCAGGAUCCAUCACUAGAUCUGUGAAAGGAAUAAAGGGAGGCAACGCCACCCUGUCAUGUCAAUUUGAAGCCAAAGACAUUCAUUACAUUGAUUUAAGCAGGUUAACAAGCAUCCUUUCUUGUCAGAAUGAAGAAUGUGAGAGUGAAAGUGAAAGUCAGAAUGGGAGAGUAUUUAAAACAGGAUCAUGUGCCGUGAUUAUCAAGAAUCUGAGACUGAGUGAUGCUGGGAAAUACAUUUUAAGAGUCUAUUACACUAAUACUCAGGCAGAAGUGAAGCGUCAAAUCAUGACAUACCGACUUCAUUUUCAGGAUGAGAUUGCAGUGAAGGAAGGGGCGGAGCUGAAGUUGGAUGUUCUGUUGCCCAAUGCUUAUAAAGUAGUGCACUGGACCAAAAGAAGCACAGGACGGAAGGAGGACUGGAAUAGAAGCCUUGGGGUCAGAAGUGAUCGAAUGACCAUCAGAGAUGGAAACCUGAUUAUUAAUAAUUUUACAGCCACUGACGCAGGAACAUAUGAGGUUCUGGACACUGUGGGAGAAAUCCUGAUGAUGGUGACUGUCACAGAAUCAAAGGACAAAAUGAACCACAUAAAUGAUGACAAACAGCAACAUACUUCCUCUCUUCCACCUGAAGCAUACUGGAUUGUCGCAGUUGAACUGUCAGUGGUUUUGGUGAUUCUGGUUGCUUUAAAAGGAAAAAGGAUGCACAGAUGUUCAGGGGCACAGCUGCACAUUUACUGAGGGGUCUGCAAGAUCAUAGUUGGUGCUCCCCAGUGUUGUGACCCCCGCCAAAAAAUAAAAAAAUAAUAAUUAUAACAAUUACAAUACAUUAAUAAUAUUAAUAAAUAGCUGUCGUUUUGACCAUUGUUUUAAUAAGCCACCAACAUUUUAAUUUCAGCAUUCUUGAUUCCAAUUUUGAUACCGCAGAAAAAUUUGUGAUUGUAAUUUGUUUCAUCAUAAGCCAUAGCUAUGCAUGAAUAUACACAAAUGCAGCCAAGGUGAAUGAAUGCAUAAGUUAAUUAAAUAAUUAUAUUUUUUACUGAUAACAAUAGGAAACAUGAAUAAAGGAGUAAAACAAUGAAUAAAAGUAAGCAUCACAAUAAAUACACACAUAUACAAGUCAACAACACAUGAAACAAAACUUCAUUCAAACUUAUUUUUCUAAUAAUCACUAAGACAGGAUUCAGGUCUCCUCUGUGAUUUAUGUGCUCAAAACUGAAUUAAAAUGUGGAGGUAGUUGCUGCUAACUUGCUUUUUAUCAACACAAAUCAUCCUCAGUUUAUUAACAGUAGAUUACUAAUGGAUACAUGAAAUACUGCAUGUUUAGUUUCUUUAUGUAGAUUUGUUUAUUUACAUUAAUCUACAGCAGUGUUGACAACAGUAAUCCUACUAGCACACAUAAGCUAGCACCUUUAUUUUUAAGAGUGUAAAGGGAAUAAAUAAAAAUAAAAAUAAAUUUCAGUGAUUUCUCUCACAGUUAUAUCAUUGGCUAAUCAUGUCCCUUUAGUGGCUCCGUUUUAUGUUUUAUGGUGCGUAUUUUUAAACACCUCUUACCAUAAUUUAUUUAUUCUCAGGUCAGGUAAAGUCAAAUCUUUCAUAUAUCAUAAGCAUCUGAGUUUUCUUAGGUCACAGAAGUCUUCACCGUGGUCUGUUUGGCUCAAGUUUAGAAAUCAGAGACUUCUGGCAGGCAAGCUUCUUGGUUUUAAUUGCAUAUAUUUUUAUUGACUACUUCACAAACAAAAUACUAGAAUGAAACCAAAGCAAUGGAUGAUGACCAAAAGUGUAGAAAAUAUAACAGAAAGCAUGAGGAGUCAACAAUAUUUUGCCACAUUUUAACAUUUCAAAAGAUUCAAAUAUUGAUGGCAGUAGUUCAGAGUUAUAGCAGAUGUGGCAUUGCAUUCGUAGUGAAUUCCUGAACAACAUUAAAUGAAUAAAAGAACUAACAUGUUGGAGAAGGGGUGGGUAAUAUGACCAGAAUCUUAUAUCACAAAAUGAGUAUUGUAUUUCACAAGAACAUGAAUCUCUAACUAAUUAUUUAUUUUCCAGUUACGUGUUUUAGUUUGAAUCGGACAGGUAUAACGAUUUUGCUUUAUAAAUGUAUUAAUUUAAUUUAAACUGUAUUUGAUCAAAUUCAGUUGGACCAACAUUUCACUGCAGUACUAAUUAAAACUAGAUAUCAUCAUACACUAAAUGACUGAAGAUCACACACACCUAGGAGACACAUCCCUUACGAAAAAAGGAAACAAUGUGUGUUCUAGAAUCGGCUCAAAAUAUCAAACAUGUUUGAUCUCCUCCGUCUGGAUGGAAUCUGAGUCUGAAGAUUUUUGAAUUUUGUUUGUAUUUUUAUAUUAAUUAAAUAUAUUUACUAUUUCCUUUUACUAAAUUCAGAAAAAUAAUACUUUAUAGAUAAUAUUAUGAUAAAAUAUAGAUGUUAAAUUAGUUCACAUCUGCUGCUCAAACUGUUGAGAUCAGACUGAAAUCAUCAGAGAUAUUCUUCAGAAUAAACUUCAGCUGACUGUAUCUGGACUCACACACUGUUUUUUAGUUCAAAUUUCUAUAUAAGGUAUUAGAUCUCACAUCUUCU